CAGUAGCCGCGGGAAUACGAAGGGGGCUGGCGUUGCUCGGAAUUACUGGGCGUAAAGGGAGCGUAGGCGGAUCGUUUAGUCAGGGGUGAAAUCCCGGGGCUCAACCUCGGAACUGCCUUUGAUACUGGCGAUCUUGAGUAUGGGAGAGGUGUGUGGAACUCCGAGUGUAGAGGUGAAAUUCGUAGAUAUUCGGAAGGAACACCUGUGGCGAAAGCGGCUCACUGGACCAUUUCUGACGCUGAUGCACGAAAGCUAGGGGAGCAAACAGGAUUAGAUACCCCCGUAGUCCCUGUCUCUUAUA
rnacentral:rRNA from 1 species